GAGUAGGGCGGGACACGUGGUAUCCUGUCUGAAUAUGGGGGGACCAUCCUCCAAGGCUAAAUACUCCUGACUGACCGAUAGUGAACCAGUACCGUGAGGGAAAGGCGAAAAGAACCCCGGCGAGGGGAGUGAAAAAGAACCUGAAACCGUGUACGUACAAGCAGUGGGAGCCUCUUUAUGGGGUGACUGCGUACCUUUUGUAUAAUGGGUCAGCGACUUAUAUUCUGUAGCAAGGUUAACCGAAUAGGGGAGCCGAAGGGAAACCGAGUCUUAACUGGGCGUUAAGUUGCAGGGUAUAGACCCGAAACCCGGUGAUCUAGCCAUGGGCAGGUUGAAGGUUGGGUAACACUAACUGGAGGACCGAACCGACUAAUGUUGAAAAAUUAGCGGAUGACUUGUGGCUGGGGGUGAAAGGCCAAUCAAACCGGGAGAUAGCUGGUUCUCCCCGAAAGCUAUUUAGGUAGCGCCUCGUGAAUUCAUCUCCGGGGGUAGAGCACUGUUUCGGCAAGGGGGUCAUCCCGACUUACCAACCCGAUGCAAACUGCGAAUACCGGAGAAUGUUAUCACGGGAGACACACGGCGGGUGCUAACGUCCGUCGUGAAGAGGGAAACAACCCAGACCGCCAGCUAAGGUCCCAAAGUCAUGGUUAAGUGGGAAACGAUGUGGGAAGGCCCAGACAGCCAGGAUGUUGGCUUAGAAGCAGCCAUCAUUUAAAGAAAGCGUAAUAGCUCACUGGUCGAGUCGGCCUGCGCGGAAGAUGUAACGGGGCUAAACCAUGCACCGAAGCUGCGGCAGCGACACUAUGUGUUGUUGGGUAGGGGAGCGUUCUGUAAGCCUGUGAAGGUGUGCUGUGAGGUAUGCUGGAGGUAUCAGAAGUGCGAAUGCUGACAUAAGUAACGAUAAAGCGGGUGAAAAGCCCGCUCGCCGGAAGACCAAGGGUUCCUGUCCAACGUUAAUCGGGGCAGGGUGAGUCGACCCCUAAGGCGAGGCCGAAAGGCGUAGUCGAUGGGAAACAGGUUAAUAUUCCUGUACUUGGUGUUACUGCGAAGGGGGGACGGAGAAGGCUAUGUUGGCCGGGCGACGGUUGUCCCGGUUUAAGCGUGUAGGCUGGUUUUCCAGGCAAAUCCGGAAAAUCAAGGCUGAGGCGUGAUGACGAGGCACUACGGUGCUGAAGCAACAAAUGCCCUGCUUCCAGGAAAAGCCUCUAAGCAUCAGGUAACAUCAAAUCGUACCCCAAACCGACACAGGUGGUCAGGUAGAGAAUACCAAGGCGCUUGAGAGAACUCGGGUGAAGGAACUAGGCAAAAUGGUGCCGUAACUUCGGGAGAAGGCACGCUGAUAUGUAGGUGAAGUCCCUUGCGGAUGGAGCUGAAAUCAGUCGAAGAUACCAGCUGGCUGCAACUGUUUAUUAAAAACACAGCACUGUGCAAACACGAAAGUGGACGUAUACGGUGUGACGCCUGCCCGGUGCCGGAAGGUUAAUUGAUGGGGUUAGCGGUAACGCGAAGCUCUUGAUCGAAGCCCCGGUAAACGGCGGCCGUAACUAUAACGGUCCUAAGGUAGCGAAAUUCCUUGUCGGGUAAGUUCCGACCUGCACGAAUGGCGUAAUGAUGGCCAGGCUGUCUCCACCCGAGACUCAGUGAAAUUGAACUCGCUGUGAAGAUGCAGUGUACCCGCGGCAAGACGGAAAGACCCCGUGAACCUUUACUAUAGCUUGACACUGAACAUUGAGCCUUGAUGUGUAGGAUAGGUGGGAGGCUUUGAAGUGUGGACGCCAGUCUGCAUGGAGCCGACCUUGAAAUACCACCCUUUAAUGUUUGAUGUUCUAACGUUGACCCGUAAUCCGGGUUGCGGACAGUGUCUGGUGGGUAGUUUGACUGGGGCGGUCUCCUCCUAAAGAGUAACGGAGGAGCACGAAGGUUGGCUAAUCCUGGUCGGACAUCAGGAGGUUAGUGCAAUGGCAUAAGCCAGCUUGACUGCGAGCGUGACGGCGCGAGCAGGUGCGAAAGCAGGUCAUAGUGAUCCGGUGGUUCUGAAUGGAAGGGCCAUCGCUCAACGGAUAAAAGGUACUCCGGGGAUAACAGGCUGAUACCGCCCAAGAGUUCAUAUCGACGGCGGUGUUUGGCACCUCGAUGUCGGCUCAUCACAUCCUGGGGCUGAAGUAGGUCCCAAGGGUAUGGCUGUUCGCCAUUUAAAGUGGUACGCGAGCUGGGUUUAGAACGUCGUGAGACAGUUCGGUCCCUAUCUGCCGUGGGCGCUGGAGAACUGAGGGGGGCUGCUCCUAGUACGAGAGGACCGGAGUGGACGCAUCACUGGUGUUCGGGUUGUCAUGCCAAUGGCACUGCCCGGUAGCUAAAUGCGGAAGAGAUAAGUGCUGAAAGCAUCUAAGCACGAAACUUGCCCCGAGAUGAGUUCUCCCUGA
rnacentral:rRNA from 1 species